rnacentral:tRNA from 1 species
GCCAGGGUGGCUCAGUCGGUUGAGCGUCUGACUUCAACUCAGGUCAUGAUCUUAUGGUUCGUGAGAUAUAGCCUCACAUCAGGCU